UACGUAGGGGGCUAGCGUUGUCCGGAAUCAUUGGGCGUAAAGAGCGUGUAGGCGGUCCGGUAAGUCCGCUGUGAAAGUCGGGGGCUCAACCCUCGGAUGCCGGUGGAUACUGUCGGGCUUGAGUACGGAAGAGGCGAGUGGAAUUCCUGGUGUAGCGGUGAAAUGCGCAGAUAUCGGGAGGAACACCAGUAGCGAAGGCGGCUCGCUGGGCCAUUCCUGACGCUGAGACGCGAAAGCUAGGGGAGCGAACAGG
rnacentral:rRNA from 1 species